rnacentral:rRNA from 1 species
AGGACGAACGCUGGCGGCGUAGCCUAACACAUGCAAGUCGAGCGAGGAGAUCCUCGGGAUGAUCCUAGCGGCGGACGGGUGAGUAACACGUGGGCAACCUGCCUCAUAGAGAGGAAUAGCCUUCCGAAAGGGAGAUUAAUACCUCAUAACAUUGCAGUUUCGCAUGGAACAGCAAUUAAAGGAGUAAUCCGCUAUGAGAUGGGCCCGCGGCGCAUUAGCUAGUUGGUGAGGUAAUGGCUCACCAAGGCGACGAUGCCGUAAGCCGACCUGAGAGGGUGAUCGGCCACAUUGGGACUGAGACACGGCCCAGACUCCUACGGGAGGCAGCAGUGGGGAAUAUUGCACAAUGGGGGAAACCCUGAUGCAGCCAACGCCGCGUGAGUGAUGACGGCCUUCGGGUUGUAAAGCUUCUGUUCUUCAGGGACGAUAAUUGACGGUACCUGAGGAGGAAGCCACGGCUUAACUAACGUGCCAGCAGCUGC